rnacentral:rRNA from 1 species
GGUUGAUCCUGCCAGUAGUCAUAUGCUCAUCUUGAAGAUUAAGCCAUGCAUGUCUAAGUAUAAAUGAGUUUAUACAGUGAAACUGCGAAUGGCUCAAUAAAUCAGUUAUAGUUUAUUUGAUAAUACCUUACUACAUGGAUAACUGUGGUAAUUCUAGAGCUAAUACAUGCGACAAGUCCCGACUUUGCGGAAGGGAUGCAUUUAUUAGAUACAAAACCAGCACGUUGGGUCAAACCAGCGGCGACGGGUGAUUCAUAAUAACUUGGCGAAUCGCACGCUCUUGCAGCGGCGA